rnacentral:rRNA from 1 species
GAUGAACGCUGGCGGCGUGCUUAACACAUGCAAGUCGAACGGUGAAGGCGGAGCUUGCUCUGCUGGAUCAGUGGCGAACGGGUGGGUAACACGUGAGCAAUCUGCCCCUGACUCUGGGAUAAGCGCUGGAAACGGCGUCUAAUACUGGAUACGAGCUGCGAAGGCAUCUUCAGCAGCUGGAAAGAAUUUCGGUCAGGGAUGAGCUCGCGGCCUAUCAGCUUGUUGGUGAGGUAACGGCUCACCAAGGCGUCGACGGGUAGCCGGCCUGAGAGGGUGACCGGCCACACUGGGACUGAGACACGGCCCAGACUCCUACGGGAGGCAGCAGUGGGGAAUAUUGCACAAUGGGCGAAAGCCUGAUGCAGCAACGCCGCGUGAGGGACGACGGCCUUCGGGUUGUAAACCUCUUUUAGCAGGGAAGAAGCGAAAGUGACGGUACCUGCAGAAAAAGCGCCGGCUAACUACGUG